GUCAGACUGUGGGCUCACUUUAGGAUAAUGUGGCAUCACUGCCCCUCCUGUUGAUGAUUUUUACUUUGAUUUUUUUUAGAUCUUUGAGUUC